CUAACAAGGAUUCCCCUAGUAACGGCGAGCGAAGCGGGAAGAGCUCAAAUUUGAAAGCUGGCGUCUUCGGCGUCCGCGUUGUAAUCUCGAGACGUGUUUUCCGUGCGGCUCUAUGGACAAGUCCCUUGGAACAGGGCAUCGUAGAGGGUGAAAAUCCCGUACUUGCCAUGGAAGUACCGUGCUUUGUGAUACACGCUCCAAGAGUCGAGUAGUUUGGGAUUGCUGCUCAAAGUGGGUGGUAGACUCCAUCUAAAGCUAAAUAUCGGGGAGAGACCGAUAGCGAACAAGUACCGUGAGGGAAAGAUGAAAAGCACUUUGGAAAGAGAGUUAAAAGUACGUGAAAUUGUCGAAAGGGAAGCACUUGAAGUCAGCCAUGCUGCUUGAGACUCAGCCUGGCUUUUGCUUGGUGUAUUUCUCGGUAGCAAGCCAGCAUUGGUUUGUGUCGUCGGAGAAGCGCAUGGGGAAUGUGGCAUCCUCGGAUGUGUUAUAGCCCUGUGCAGGAUACGACGACGUA
rnacentral:rRNA from 1 species